rnacentral:rRNA from 1 species
UGAGUACGAGAUGCUACGGCAUCGAAGCAGUCUAUGUCAUACUUCCAAGAAAAGCUUGCAAUGUCAUAAACAAAUAAUGCCUGUACCAUAACCGACACAGGUGGGUAGGUAGAGUAUACUAAGGGGCGCGAGAUAACUCUCUCUAAGGAACUCGGCAAAAUGACUCCGUAACUUCGGGAGAAGGAGUGCCUUAUUUUUAUAAGGUUGCAAUAACAAGAUCCAAGCAACUGUUUACCAAAAACACAGGUCUCCGCUAAGUCGUAAGACGAUGUAUGGGGGCUGACGCCUGCCCAGUGCCAGAAGGUUAAAGAAGUUGGUUAGCAUUAGCGAAGCUGAUAACUGAAGCCCUGGUGAACGGCGGCCGUAACAAUAACGGUCCUAAGGUAGCGAAAUUCCUUGUCGGGUAAGUUCCGACCCGCACGAAAGGCGUAAUGAUUUGGAUACUGUCUCGGAGAGGGGCUCGGUGAAAUAGACUUGUCUGUGAAGAUGCGGACUACCUGCACCUGGACAGAAAGACCCUAUGAAGCUUUACUGUAACUUGAGAUUGAAAUUGGACUUUAUCUGCGCAGUAUAGGUGGGAGACGUUGAAAAUAUUCUUGCGGGAAUAUUGGAGUCAUCAGUGAGAUACCACUCUUAUAAUGUUAGAUUUCUAACUUUGUAUCAUUAUCUGGUCAAAGAACAGUUUCAGGCGGGCAGUUUGACUGGGGCGGUCGCCUCCCAAACGGUAACGGAGGCGCACAAAGGUUUCCUCUGAACGUGUAGAAAUCGUAUCUAGAGUGUAAAGGCAUAAGGAAGCUUGACUGUGAGACCUACAAGUCGAGCAGGGACGAAAGUCGGUCUUAGUGAUCUGACGGUGCUGAGUGGAAAGGCCGUCACUCAACGGAUAAAAGUUACUCUAAGGAUAACAGGCUGAUCUCCCCCAAGAGUUCACAUCGACGGGGAGGUUUGGCACCUCGAUGUCGGCUCAUCGCAUCCUGGGGCGGUAGUACGUCCCAAGGGUUGGGCUGUUCGCCCAUGAAAGCGGUACGCGAGCUGGGUUCAGAACGUCGUGAGACAGUUCGGUCCAUAUCCGGUGUAGGCGUUAGAAUAUUGAGAGGAGCCUUCUUUAGUACGAGAGGACCGAGAAGGACAUACCUCUGGUGUACCAGUUAUCGUGCCAACGGUAAACGCUGGGUAGCCAUGUAUGGAGAGGAUAACCGCUGAAAGCAUCUAAGUGGGAAGCCCACCUCAAGAUAAG